AAAGGGAGACCUAAUUCAGGUAGGAGACGAAAAAAAAGUAGUCGCUACCAAGAAUCAAUCCCAAAAGGUCGGAGCGAGGCGAAAUUGGCUUUCAAACUAGGUUCUGGGUUCAAACAAGACCUGAAUCAGGAACAAGGGCUAUUAGCUCAGGUGGUUAGAGCGCACCCCUGAUAAGGGUGAGGUCCCUGGUUCGAGUCCAGGAUGGCCCACCUGUACAGGUGGCAAAAAGAAAGAAAAGAAGCGAGGAAUCAGCACCUUAUCUUACUGACAUAGUAAGAGAGGAUGCUGGCUCUGAGUAAAGAGUCCAGAGGAACCUUGAAAACUGCAUAGAGCUAGGUGAAAAAGCCAAAAAAGAAGACCGCAAG
rnacentral:tRNA from 1 species